rnacentral:tRNA from 1 species
UUAGUUGAAGCCAAAAAGAGGCAUCUUAAUGUUAAUAAGAAGAGUGAUUAAUUAUCCAACUAAA